rnacentral:tRNA from 1 species
GCGCCCGUAGCUCAGUAGGAUAGAGCACAAGAUUCCUAAUCUUGGGGUCGGGGGUUCGAAUCCCUCCGGGCGCGCCA